rnacentral:rRNA from 1 species
UACAGAGGUCUCGAGCGUUGUUCGGAUUCAUUGGGCGUAAAGGGUGCGUAGGUGGCGCCGUAAGUCGGGUGUGAAAUUUCGGAGCUUAACUCCGAAACUGCAUUCGAUACUGCGGUGCUUGAGGACUGGAGAGGAGGCUGGAAUUCAUGGUGUAGCAGUGAAAUGCGUAGAGAUCAUGAGGAAGACCAGUGGCGAAGGCGGGUCUCUGGACAGUUCCUGACACUGAGGCACGAAGGCCAGGGGAGCAAACGGG